GAUGAACGCUGGCGGCGUGCCUAAUACAUGCAAGUCGAGCGAACGGACGAGAAGCUUGCUUCUCUGAUGUUAGCGGCGGACGGGUGAGUAACACGUGGAUAACCUACCUAUAAGACUGGGAUAACUUCGGGAAACCGGAGCUAAUACCGGAUAAUAUUAUGAACCGCAUGGUUCAAAAGUGAAAGACGGUCUUGCUGUCACUUAUAGAUGGAUCCGCGCUGCAUUAGCUAGUUGGUAAGGUAACGGCUUACCAAGGCAACGAUGCAUAGCCGACCUGAGAGGGUGAUCGGCCACCUUGGAACUGAGACACGGUCCAGACUCCUACGGGAGGCAGCAGUAGGGAAUCUUCCGCAAUGGGCGAAAGCCUGACGGAGCAACGCCGCGUGAGUGAUGAAGGUCUUCGGAUCGUAAAACUCUGUUAUUAGGGAAGAACAUAUGUGUAAGUAACUGUGCACAUCUUGACGGUACCUAAUCAGAAAGCCACGGCUAACUACGUG
rnacentral:rRNA from 1 species